rnacentral:lncRNA from 1 species
UCGGCGACCCUGCCGCUCGCCGGCUCAGCCAGGGGUGCUCAGAAAUGGAAAUGUCCAUUUUACCGGACACACCUUUGAGCUCAAAAGAUGUGCAGGACCUCUUUCCCGGUUUACCCUUCCUGUCUUUGGUAUCAAGUUUUCCUUUCUCUGAAAAGAUAAGCGGACUUGAGUAUUCCUCUGCGGUCGGUUCUAACUGCUCUCCUUUAGAAUGGCCCUUUUAA